rnacentral:rRNA from 1 species
GCAAUGCGUGACCAACCUGCCCCAUGCUCCAGAAUAGCUCUUGGAAACGGGUGGUAAUGCUGGAUGCUCCAACUUGACGCAUGUCUUGUUGGGAAAGUGUUUAGUGGCAUGGGAUGGGGUCGCGUCCUAUCAGCUUGUAGGCGGGGUAAUGGCCCACCUAGGCUUCGACGGGUAGCCGGCCUGAGAGGGCGGACGGCCACAUUGGGACUGAGAUACGGCCCAGACUCCUACGGGAGGCAGCAGAA